GUGACGUCACGCUCACGUCACACGCGCUUUGGCGGCUCGGCUCCACACUGUGGAAACUAGACCUAUAAUUAGCCGCUGCAACGCCACACGACGUGAUAAUUCCAUUAGCGAUCCCUGACAGAGGCGUCUGGGCCGGGAUCCGAGCACGUCUCCUGCUACAGGGAGGUUUCUAACCAGUAAAGGCUCCUGAAGGACGUAACUCCACCUGACUCAGCAACAGACUCACCUGAGCAAGUUACCUUUCCAGGUCGUCACGGAGAACAUGAACCUGAACCUCCAAACAUGAGCAGAAACCCGACAUCUUCUUCCUCCUCCACCCUUCAUCCUCAAAUAGACACAAAGCUCCUCCUCCCCCUCCCUCAUCUUCACCCCUCCUCCUCCUCCUCCUCCUCCUCCUCCUCCUCCUCCUCCUCCUCCUCCUCCUCAUCCUCCUCCUCCUCCUCCUCCUCCCCCUCAUCCUCCCCAAGAGAUGUGAAAGUGGGUCAGACCGAGGAGGGGGAGCCCCACACAAACACAAGGAGAGUGAAAGCAGAGAGGAUUGUGGGAGUUCAUGUUGGCUCAGUAUGAAGCUGGUGGAGGUUUGUGUUCUUACCUGAGGGCCCGCAGGUGAGGCAGCACAUGGGGAGAGAAGAAGAAGAAGAGAGGAGGCUUUUAGGAAACAUCAGUAUCCUGUUAACAUCUGAACAUCUUCAUGUCUAAUCGAUACGUCACUUCAGGUUUAUCACACGUUUAUCUGACUUGUUGGAACAAAGUCGAUCCCAAAGUGCAGAUAAAACCAGAUUUAAACCAGCGCCACAAAGAGCAAGUGCAUGACGUUUUCAACACGUCUACAACAUAGACAAGAACUGUGUUCUCCCUGCCACCAAGGAACUCUUUAUUAUUCACAUUUGAAACAUUAUUUAUUCUAAUCCCUCUAUUCUUCCUAUUUUUUCCUCAUCUUUAUUUCUCAUUGCCUUUUUUUUUCCCCGCGUCUUUAAUUGUUAACCAAUCAGGUUUGACCAUGAGCUGACUCCUACUUAUAUAUGAUAGAUUAUUUUGUUCUUGAAAAACAUCUGAAGAAAAAGAAAAAAAACAUUCAAAAACAAAUAAAUGUAACAGAAUUAAAGAAAUGCUUUUAAUUGUGAUCAUUUUUAAUUUGUUUUCAUAUUCUCUUUCAUCAUUCUGCGCCAAACUGGACUAUAAAUCUACUUAAAAACUUUGUCCUAAAUACUUCAGAAAAUUCCAUAUUUCACUUUGAAAUGUGUGAAAUAUGGAAAAAAAAUGUGUCCCAGAAAAUAUAUAUGACAAAAAAUAAACGAGAAAAAGACAU